UACGUAGGCAGCAAGCGUUGUUCGGAGUUACUGGGCGUAAAGGGUGUGUAGGCGGUUCCUUAAGUUUGCUGUGAAACCUCCCGGCUUAACCGGGAGGGUGCGGUGAAUACUGAGGGACUAGAGUACGGGAGAGGAAAGUGGAAUUCCUGGUGUAGCGGUGAAAUGCGUAGAUAUCAGGAGGAACACCGGUGGUGUAGACGGCUUUCUGGACCGUAACUGACGCUGAGACACGAAAGACGUGGGUAGCAAACAGG
rnacentral:rRNA from 1 species